rnacentral:rRNA from 1 species
AAUCAACGCUGGCGGCGUGCCUCAGACAUGCAAGUCGAACGCGAAAGUCCCCUUCGGGGGACAAGUAGAGUGGCGCACGGGUGAGUAACACGUAGGUAAUCUACCUUCGGAUGGGGAAUAACAACCGGAAACGGUUGCUAAUACCGCAUAAUGCAGCGGCACCUCAUGGUGACAGUUGUUAAAGCGGGGGAUCGAAAGACCUCGCGUCUGAAGAGGAGCCUGCGGCGGAUUAGCUAGUUGGUAAGGUAAUGGCUUACCAAGGCUACGAUCCGUAACCGGCCUGAGAGGGCGGUCGGUCACACUGACACUGACAUACGGGUCAGACUCCUACGGGAGGCAGCAGUCGGGAAUUUUGGG